UAGGGAAUCUUCCACAAUGGGCGCAAGCCUGAUGGAGCAACACCGCGUGAGUGAAGAAGGGUUUCGGCUCGUAAAGCUCUGUUGUUAAAGAAGAACGUGGGUAAGAGUAACUGUUUACCCAGUGACGGUAUUUAACCAGAAAGUCACGGCUAACUACGUGCCAG
rnacentral:rRNA from 1 species